UACGUAGGGGGCAAGCGUCGUCCGGAAUUAUUGGGCGUAAAGCGCGCGCAGGCGGUGAUUUAAGUCUGGUGUAUAAUCUUAAGGCUCAACCUUGGGACGCAUUGGAAACUGGGUCACUGGAGUGUAGGAGAGGAAAGUGGAAUUCCACGUGUAGCGGUGAAAUGCGUAGAGAUGUGGAGGAACACCAGUGGCGAAGGCGACUUUCUGGCCUAUAACUGACGCUGAGGCGCGAAAGCGUGGGGAGCAAACAGG
rnacentral:rRNA from 1 species